rnacentral:rRNA from 1 species
ACGAACGCUGGCGGCGUGCCUAAUACAUGCAAGUCGAACGGUCUUUCUAUGGAAGCUUGCUUCCACUGAGAAGAUAGUGGCGAACGGGUGAGUAACACGUGGGUAACCUGCCCAUAAGAGGGGGAUAACAUCCGGAAACGGGUGCUAAUACCGCAUAGUUUUCUUGAUUGCAUGAUUGAGAAGGAAAGACGGCCUUUGUGCUGUCGCUUAUGGAUGGACCCGCGGCGUAUUAGUUAGUUGGUGAGGUAACGGCUCACCAAGACGAUGAUACGUAGCCGACCUGAGAGGGUGAUCGGCCACAUUGGGACUGAGACACGGCCCAAACUCCUACGGGAGGCAGCAGUAGGGAAUCUUCCGCAAUGGACGAAGUCUGACGGAGCAACGCCGCGUGAGUGAAGAAGGUUUUUUCGGAUCGUAAAACUCUGUUGUCAGAGAAGAACAAGUUGGAGAGUAACUGCUCCAGCCUUGACGGUAUCUGACCAGAAAGCCACGGCUAACUACGUGCCAGCAGCUGC